ACAUCAUCUGCAGUAGGACGGGGGAGUUGGAGCCCUGGUCAGGCCACUCUGCUACUGACCACAGUUUUCUCAUCUCUAAAAAGGCGCAGUAACAAUAUAAUUACCGUAUGCAGUCCCCCAGGAUACAGGGUCAAAGGAGAGCACAACCAUCGCAGUUGGAAGCCCAUGGGGCAGGGCCCAGGACACAGUGAGCAUACAAUAGACAUUAGCUGCUGUGGUGUCUUGAUUUCAAGCCCAGUGCAGAUGCAUCUGACUUACGAAACUUCAGUGACACCUGCUCUGUGCCAGACACUGAAGAUGGAGCAGUGAACAGCACUGACCCAGCCUGUCCUCCUGUUGCCUGCAGGCCAGACGGAGUCUCACUCUGUCACCAGGCUGGAGUACAGUGGUGUGAUCUCGGCUCACUGCAACCUCCGCCUCCCAGGUUCAAGCGAUUCUCCUGCCUCAGCCUCUCAAGUAGCUGAGAUUACAGACGUGUGUCACCAUGCCCUGUUAAUUUUUGUUUGUUUGUUUUGUUUUUUGUUUUGUUUUGUUUCGUUUUUUGUUUUUUUUUUUUGAGACGGAGUCUUGCUCUGUCGCCCAGGCUGGAGUGCAGUGGCCCCGAUCUCGGCUCACCGCAAGCUCCGCCUCGCGGGUUCAUGCCAUUCUCCGGCCUCAGCCUCCCGAGUAGCUGGGACUACAGGCAUCCGCCACCACACCCAGCUAAUUUUUUGUAUUUUUUUUAGUAGAGACGGGGUUUCACUGUGUUAGCCAGGAUGGUCUCGAUCCCCUGACCUUGUGAUCCACCCAAGGCCUCGGCCUCCCAAAGUGCUGGGAUUACAGGCAUGAGCCACCGUGCCCGGUCAAUUUUUAUAUUUUUUGUAGAGACAGGGUUUCACCAUGUUGGCCAGGCUGGUGUCGAACUCCCGACCUCAGGUGAUUGUCGGCCUUGGCCUCCCAAAGUGCUGGGAUUACAGGCGUGAGCCACCGCGCCCAGCCGGUGGGCAGCCAGUUGUGUUCCGGGAGGAGGAGGACACCCUGGAAAGACAGUGGGGCCAGACACUGAACUGCCUUUGGAAGCAAGUAGGAGCAACAGCGAAGGUUUGCUGGCUCAGAAGCAAGGUCUCGCUGUGUUACCCUGGCUGGAGUGCAGUGGCUACUUACAGGCAUGAUCAUAGCAUACUGCAGCCUCGAACUCCUGGACUAGAGCAGUUCUCCUGCCUCAGCCUCCAGAGCAGCUGGGACUGCAGACACGCACCACAGAGCCCAGCCUGAGUCAUUUUGAUUCUGUAACUGGCUUCCUCUCGGCGGGCAGGCUCACACCCUCCACCCCCAGCUGGAGAUGGAAGGAGGAUGCUCACCGCCCAUUCCUCAUGCAGGCCAUCGAUGGAAAUGUCAGACAGUGCGAGUCCACGCCUGAACACUUCUGGGGUCCGCUCUGGGACUGACACUGGCAGAUCCAUCGAUGCCGUUCCAUUGUUUGCUGACUUUCAUUGAUUCUAUGAGAAGUCUGCAGUCUUUUGCAGCGUUGUUUUCCUAUGUAUAAUUGUCUCCUCCCACCCCACUCACCCCAGCUGCUUUCCACAUUCUCUCUCUUUGAUUUUCAGCAGUCUGCCCAUGAUGUGCCUAAAUAGGACUUUCUUUGCAUUCAUCUUGGCUGGGGCUCACUGAACUUUCUGAAUCUGUAGAUUAAUUUUCUUUUUUCAAUAAACCUUGGAAUAUUUUCAGCAUAA
ensembl:lncRNA LINC00963 long intergenic non-protein coding RNA 963